rnacentral:rRNA from 1 species
GGGGGGGGGGGGGGGGGGGGGGGGGGGGGGGGGGGGGGGGGAGGGGGGGGGGGGCGGGCGGCGGGGGCGUGAGGGGCGGACGGGGGAGUAACGCGUGGAUAACCUACCGAUGAGACUGGGAGAACUUCGGGAGGCCGGCGCUAAGACCGGAUACUAUAGUGAACCGCAGGGUUCAAUGGUGAAAGACGGUGUUGCGGUCACUGAUAGAUGGAUCCGCGCCGCAUUAGCUAGUUGGUACGGGAACAGCUUACCAAGGCAACGAUGCGUAGCCGCCGUGAGAGGGUGAUCGGCCACACUGGAACUGAGACACGGUCCAGACUCCUACGGGAGGCAGCAGUAGGGAAUCUUCCGCAAUGGGCGAAAGCUUGACGGAGCAACGCCGCGUGAGUGAUGAAGGUCUUCGGAUCGUAAAACUCUGUUAUUAGGGAAGAACAAAUGUGUAAGUAACUAUGCCCGUCUUGACGGUACCUAAUCAGAAAGCCACGGCUAACUACGUG